rnacentral:rRNA from 1 species
UACGAAGGGGGCUAGCGUUGCUCGGAAUCACUGGGCGUAAAGCGCACGUAGGCGGAUUGCUAAGUCAGGGGUGAAAUCCUGGAGCUCAACUCCAGAACUGCCUUUGAUACUGAGGAUCUUGAGUUCGGGAGGGGUGAGUGGAACUGCGAGUGUAGAGGUGAAAUUCGUAGAUAUUCGCAAGAACACCAGUGGCGAAGGCGGCUCACUGGCCCGAUACUGACGCUGAGGCACGAAAGCGUGGGGGGCAAACAGG